GAUCCCAACAAAUCCGGCGCUGGGGGUCACCCAUGCCAUCAGGACGGGGUUUGACCUGCCUGAGAAGCCCCCCUCCCCGAGGUGGGUUCGUUGGCCCCUCAAGCACAGAGUUAAAAGUUUCCUCCGUAUCUUAUCCCGCAGCCACUGACUCGGUCCAGCCCAGAUCCCCCAGACCUCUAGCGAGCCAGGGUACGGGACAUCCCACGCACGGCCUUCUGCGUCCUGUCUCCCCUUUGCUUUCCUAUCCGCUCUUUUCCCGUCGCACUUGCUUGCCGUGUUGUAUAUAGUUCACCUCUCUGUGCACAUUUUAUUUCCACGUGCUGAACCCCGCUGACAGAGUCCUGUGCUUAAUAAUCUCUACCUUCUCCGAAGCGCCAAGCCGUGAGUCGGUGCCAACCCGGAUGAACUCCGCUCGACAGGGUGUCAAGAGUCCGUCCCAGACUUCUUUAAGAACAUUAAACAAAAUAUCCAUGAAGAAACCGGAAACCCUAUUGUUUGGGACAUCUGCAACCAGAUAAAACUCAGCAUUUCUUUUAAGAAGUGGUCGCUUCUCCACUUUGAGUCUCUGGCCGAAGAACCUUGGAAAGCCAAGCAUCGGACGUUUCAAAGAUGAAUCUGUCCACAAAGUAGCCAAGAGAAAGAAAAAAGCGAACAAAAGUUGAAAUCAAAUCCUAUAGGCCAUUAAUUGCCCCUUCGAAAGACUCAAGAAAAUUUCUUAUUCUUUCAUUUUUCUCCAUAAAUCCUAUAAUCUCCCCAAUUCAUCAGCGACUUGGUUCCCGGCCUUGCCCACUUGGCCUUUUUCCUUUCAUGUCUUUCAUCCCCUAAAUGAGAAUGGUUUCUCGAUGUUCUCUAACACAAAUUCCUUCAGAGCAUCCGACGGCGGGCAGGUGGCCGUUUCAGUCGCGGAGGUUCGACCAGCAGCCCGCCCCGCAGACCACGCGAGCCCGCGUCCGGGAGGGGCGCCAGUCCUCGCUCUCAGGGGCGCGGGGAUUUGUCACCCCCUCGCAGGCUGAGUCCCGGCCUGGACACAGGGGAGGGGGUUCGGGGCCCCCGGGCAGGUAUCAGAGGUUGUCAGAGGGCCGGGGUGGGUCAGGGGACGUGAGACCACGUUGCAGGGGCAGGAGCCUGACUGUGACCCCUCUUGGGCUCCGACAUGCCCGGGGGCUGGGCCCUGAGGUCUGCCGUGGGCAACGGUCAGGGUGACUCCACCAUGUCGUCCCCACACCAGGACACCUCCGAGGGUAAAAGUGGGGGAGUCUGGGGAUCCCUGGGUGGCGCAGCGGUUUGGCGCCUGCCUUUGGCCCAGGGUGUGAUCCUGGAGACCCGGGAUCGAGUCCCACAUCGGGCUCCCGGUGCAUGGAGCCUGCUUCU